rnacentral:rRNA from 1 species
CAAUAGCGUAUAUUAAAGUUGUUGCAGUUAAAAAGCUCGUAGUUGAAUUUCUAAUCGGAAUUUUUUUGGUUUAUAAUCAAUUAAUUUCGUUUAUCCGACAUUAAACUUUAUUGGGUAUUUAUUUAUCCAUAAAGCGAACUGUCAUUUUACUUUGAAAAAUUAAGAGUGUUUCAGGCAGGCAAUUGCCCGAAUAUCUUAGCAUGGAAUAAUGGAAUAGGACUUUGGUUCAUUUUAUUGGUUAUUGAAUCAGAGUAAUGAUUAAUAGGGACAGUUGGGGGCGAUUCGUACUCAGCAGUCAGAGGUGAAAUUCUUAGAUUUGCUGAAGACGCACUAAUGCGAAAGCAUUUGCCAAGGAUGUUUUCAUUAAUCAAGAACGAAAGUUAGGGGAUCAAAGAUGAUCAGAUACCGU